AGAAGGCCAGCCACAGAUUCACAGUCGGUGACAACAGGAUUUGUUUCUGAACGAUGGGAGAGUUGGAGGAGGAUGCUGAGGAAAAGCGCGCCUGGCUGCCUUUGUUUGCCCUUUAACCAAUGCAACAAUGACCAGGGCUGCAUCAAAGACAACACCUGGAACCCUUACACCCAAAAUAACUUGGCACCAAAUUCAUAAGAGUAAUAUAUCUUACAUCCAAGCAGCAGUGGACUAGUAUGACUGGGUUAGCCAUGAACUUGGUGUCAAGGUUGUAGUCACUGUUUGGCAUUUGCUGUACAUCGUUUCUUACUACUCAACAAUAAGGAAUAAAGUAUAUUCAAUUUAAAUUUAAAUUUAUUUUGAUGAAAUUGCUUGAUUACAGCUCUUUAGGAUCACAUUCUCUCAUGACUGCAGAACACUUCAUGUUUCGGGUACGCAUGAUACUGCCUUCCUGUAUUAUCCAGCACCUGUUAGAAACCUCAUUUGGAGAAAUACUAUUAAAUGCAAAUCAC